UAAUUUCUGCCCUGAUUUGUAUCGAU
rnacentral:piRNA from 1 species